rnacentral:rRNA from 1 species
CAACGGAUAUCUCGGCUCUCGCCACGAUGAAGAAUGUAGCGAAAUGCGAUACUUAGUGUGAAUUGCAGAAUCCCGUGAAUCAUCGAGUCUUUGAACGCAAGUUGCGCCCGAGGCCUCGGCCAAGGGCACGUCUGCUUGGGCGUCGCACUCCAAUUUCGUCCCCCCUUCGGGGAGGAGCGUAGAUGGCCGUCCGUGUCCGGUUGUGGUGCGGUCGGCUGAAAUGAGCACGAGGUCCGUCGACCCGUCGC